GGGGAUGUAGCUCAGGGGUAGAGUGCUUGCUUAGCAUGCACAAGGCCCUGGGUUUGAUUCCCCAGUAUCACCA
rnacentral:tRNA from 1 species